GGGAGCGUAGCUCAAUGGGUAAGAGCACUGCCGUGACAUCUACUCUCUAUGAUGGGGGCUAUCCUACUUGGACCCCCAGCACAGGGCUAUCCCACUGGGACCCUGGGCAAAGGGAACGGAAUGCUUUAGACAGAGGUUUCAGGUUCAAGUCCUGACACUCCCA